ACACCUGCACUUUGAAGUGGUAUCCAUUAGGAGCAGGUGCAUCAUGUGACCAUGCCGAUCAUGUAUCUUAAUUCUCAGAGUGCACAUAUAUGACCACAACAGAAAUAUAUUAUUCCGUGUGUGGUCUUGUAAUCACUUGGAUAAGUGCAGAACGGUUGGUUGGACACAUAUUAGCGAUAGGACAAAAAAGAAAGAGUUAGUGAGAGGUGUGCAAUCCUUUAACACCUGUUGUUUGGUCAUGCCGGUGGAUGUGAUGUGCUGGAAAUGAAAUGUAUGAAGAAAUGAACAGGAGGAUAACCAUGGAAGAAAAGUCUCGCCCGUGGCCCCAUCAUAUGUAUCACUGAGCACAGGGAUUUUAGGGCUUAAUUUGGAUGUUUCGUAUAUUUAUUGGAUGGUUGAUUGAGAAGAUGGUUUGAUCACUGGUUGCAAGAUACACUGCUUCUGCCACAUGCUGAGGAACCAGAAGCAGUCUUUACAAGCCUAGAAUUCAAGGGGAAGGUUUUUCUGUCAGUAGAUUUGGCUUCUAGGCAAGUAUAAGCCCUGGCACAUCUCUCUCUCUCUCUGCUUAGCACCUGUUCCAUCAUCUUUUGGUUUGGCAUGAUUUGUUCUUGAAAAAGCCCAUGCUGGGUGCUUCUUAACCCCUUCCUUGAAAUGCUUGCCAACUCACUGUUCAAAGAUCUCCCUGGGCAUGGCAACCUCUGAUUAUAGAGUGCCACCACACUCAUCAAGUGGGAAUGAGGUUGGCAGCAGCAUUGGCAACAAAUAUUCUUUUUUUUUUUAAUAGAACGUAUUCAUUUACUGCUUAAUAUAUAAAAAGAAACCCCUAAGUGGUAUAAUCACAGGGCAGAGAUUAGAAAUCAGUGUCAAUUCGUAUGAAGAAUACAAAAAUGAAAUUCAAAUAAGACCUAAAUGCUAGGCGAAAAACAAACAACUAAGAGGGUGGAUAGCUUUUAUGCGUACUCCAUAUAAUUAGGGAAAUUUUGUUUCUUUAUCUAUUACCUACCCUUCAACCUGAGGUGAUUUGGAACAUGAGCUCACUUUCCUGAGUCAGAUAGCACCAUUAACAAGGCAUCUCGAAGUGGGGCAGGGAUGGCUUUAUUCUCUCCCAGCCCCUCUUUUAUUUUCUGAGAAGUGAAAGCAUGCUGAGUUGGGAAACACUCUGACCUUGAGAGGGAGAGGGAGGGGGAUCUUUCUUUUGGACAGACAGGCCUAGCUUUUAAUUAUUUUCUGAGUCCACUCCAAUCAUGGUGAUUUGGAGCAAGGGGGAUUUUGAAUUAUUUAAUUCAAGCAUGAGUUGUUCUUCCUGCAGGUCGUUAGUCUCCAUGUCUUGGCUGUGAAAGCAAGGUUUAAGAGGGUAGAGUUAGACUACAGUGGUACCUCGAGUUACAAACGCCUCAGGUUACAAACGCUUCAGGUUACAAACUCCGCUAACCUGGAAGAGUUACCUCGAGUUGAGAAAUUUGCCCCAGGAUGAGAAUGGAAAUCGUGUGCUGGCGGCGCAGC